GACGAACGCUGGCGGCGUGCUUAACACAUGCAAGUCGAACGGAAAGGCCCUGCUUGCAGGGUACUCGAGUGGCGAACGGGUGAGUAACACGUGGGUGAUCUGCCCUGCACUUCGGGAUAAGCUUGGGAAACUGGGUCUAAUACCGGAUAGGAGCCAUCUUUAGUGUGGUGGUUGGAAAGUUUUUUCGGUGUAGGAUGAGCUCGCGGCCUAUCAGCUUGUUGGUGGGGUAAUGGCCUACCAAGGCGGCGACGGGUAGCCGGCCUGAGAGGGUGUACGGCCACAUUGGGACUGAGAGACGGCCCAGACUCCGACGGGAGGCAGCAGUGGGGAAUAUUGCACAAUGGGCGCAAGCCUGAUGCAGCGAGGCCGCGUGGGGGAUGAAGGCCUUCGGGUUGUAAACUCCUUUCGCUAGGGACGAAGCUUUUUUGUGACGGUACCUAGAUAAGAAGCACCGGCUAACUACGUG
rnacentral:rRNA from 1 species